AUUGAACGCUGGCGGCAUGCCUUACACAUGCAAGUCGAACGGCAGCACGGGGGCAACCCUGGUGGCGAGUGGCGAACGGGUGAGUAAUACAUCGGAACGUGUCCUGUCGUGGGGGAUAACCAGUCGAAAGACUGGCUAAUACCGCAUGAGAUCGAGAGAUGAAAGCAGGGGACCGCAAGGCCUUGCGCGAUUGGAGCGGCCGAUGUCGGAUUAGCUAGUUGGCGGGGUAAAAGCCCACCAAGGCGACGAUCCGUAGCUGGUUUGAGAGAACGACCAGCCACACUGGGACUGAGACACGGCCCAGACUCCUACGGGAGGCAGCAGUGGGGAAUUUUGGACAAUGGGGGGCAACCCUGAUCCAGCCAUGCCGCGUGUGUGAAGAAGGCCUUCGGGUUGUUAAAGGACACUUCGGUACGG
rnacentral:rRNA from 1 species